rnacentral:rRNA from 1 species
AGCAGCCGCGGUAAUUCCAGCUCCAAUAGCGUAUAUUAAAGUUGCUGCAGUUAAAAAGCUCGUAGUUGAAUUUCGGGACCAUCAUGUCGGUCGUGCCUCGGUACGUACUGGUAUUGUUGGUUUCUCCUUCUGACGAACCAUGAUGUCAUUUAUUUGGUGUUGUGGGGAAUCAGGACUGUUACUUUGAAAAAUUAGAGUGUUUAAAGCAGGCUCACGCUUGAAUACAUUAGCAUGGAAUAAUGAAAUAGGACGUUUGAUUCUAUUUUGUUGGUUUCUAGGAUCGACGUAAUGAUUAAUAGGGAUAGUUGGGGGCAUUAGUAUUCAAUUGUCAGAGGUGAAAUUCUUGGAUUUAUUGAAGACUAACUACUGCGAAAGCAUUUGCCAAGGAUGUUUUCAUUAAUCAAGAACGAAAGUUAGGGGAUCGAAGACGAUCAGAUACCGUCGUAGUCUUAACCAUAAACUAUGCCGACUAGGGAUCGGAUGAUGUUAAUUUUAAUGA